UGGAUUUGUGACAGGGUUUGGGAACCCAGACUGGUCAAGGACUCACGAACCUGCUAGUCAGACGUCUACCGUGGUCAAGACACUUGUUGAAGAAGGAGCCACAUGUACUGGAAGAACUGUUGUAGAUGACAUGGCCUUUGGUAUUAGUGGUGAACAAAGACAUUUUGAUACUCCAACAAAUCCGGCUAUGAAGCUGUUGGAGGCCUUUUGAUAUCAAAUAGGAUUAUGGUGCAAUUUGUCUUUGAAUAUCAGGACUUCUGCUGCCUAUUUUUCUGCAGUAUAUAUAAUCAUUCCGAGUAGAGAAAUAAGGUUUGAAGUCAAGGAGCUUUUUAGCUUUGUUUUGUCCUUUUUAUUAUGUCCCAAAAGCCUGGUAUUUCAGUUGAGAAUGUAUUCGAUCCAUUGUUUAGUUUGUUAUUAAAAAUUUUUACAUCUUUUA